GGCGGUUUGAUCAUGGCUCAGAGCGAACGCUGGCGGCAGGCCUAACACAUGCAAGUCGAGCGGUCGUAGCAAUACGGCAGCGGCAGACGGGAGAGUAACACGUGGGAACGCGCCCUUCGGUUCGGAAUAACUCAGGGAAACUUGGGCUAAUACCGGAUACGCCCUUACGGGGAAAGAUUUAUUGCCGAAGGAACGGCCCGCGUCCGAUUAGCUUGUUGGUGAGGUAAUGGCUCACCAAGGCGACGAUCGGUAGCUGGUCUGAGAGGAUGACCAGCCUCACUGGGACUGAGACACGGCCCAGACUCCUACUGGAGGCAGCAGUGGGGAAUAUUGGACAAUGGGCGCAAGCCUGAUCCAGCCAUGCCGCGUGGGUGAUGAAGGCCUUAGGGUUGUAAAGCCCUUUCGGCGGGGAAGAUAAUGACGGUACCCGCAGAAGAAGCCCCGGCUAACUUCGUGCCAGCAGCCGCGGUAAUAACCUAAAUAGC
rnacentral:rRNA from 1 species